AUGGGGAGGCCGAGCUGCGCGGCGGCUGCGCUGCUGCUCGCUUGCCUCAGUUUCAGUCUUGGCACCUGCAGCUCCGAUGCUCAGCGAGGAUGGGUGAACAACCGGGAGGAAGAUGCACGCCCCGCAGACCGGCGGGUAGUCCAAGAGGUACACAUCCGAGAAGCUCUGCCACAACCAACCAGGUACAGGUCCAAGCAGUCCACAACGUUCCCGCAGUGGCCACCCUGGCCAUGGGCACCGGCACCGACGCCGACGACGAGUUCUCCGCCGUUGCAGGGUGCUGGAUCCCCGUCAAGCGCCCCCGCACCGUCGCCGGAAGUCGCCAAGCCUCUGGCGGUGCCGCCUCGGGAUGUCGAGAAGCCUGCGCACAGCAUCACGGUGCCACCGACGCCAGCGACGGUGGCCCACGGCGCUGCGGCGGUCGGAGAAACGUCGACUGAGGCGGCGGGGCAUGCUCCUACCAGGCGGCGUAUCUAUGUCAUCGCCGGAGCAGGAGCUUCCCUCCUUGUGGCCAUUUCAGCGGCACUGUUCGUCCUGUGCUACCGGUCCAAUAAGGUGGUCACCGUCAGGCCGUGGGCCACCGGCCUCAGCGGGCAGCUGCAGAAAGCGUUCGUGACAGGCGUGCCGGCGCUCAAGAGGUCGGAGCUCCAGGCGGCCUGCGAAGAUUUCAGCAACGUCAUCGGCUGCCUGUCGGAUUACAUGAUGUACAAGGGGACGCUGUCGAGCGGCGUCGAGAUCGCCGUCAUAUCGACGACGAAGAAGUCCGGCAAGGAGUGGUCCAAGCACUGCGAAACACAGUUCAGGAAAAAGAUAACAAGCCUGUCCAGAGUUAACCACAAGAACUUUGUGAACCUGCUGGGCUACUGCCAGGAAGAGCAGCCAUUCACAAGGAUGAUGGUGUUCGAGUAUGCUCCCAACGGCACUCUCUUCGACCAUCUCCAUGUGAGGGAAGACGGUCACCUGGACUGGCCGACCCGGCUGCGGGUGGCGGUGGGGAUCGCCUACUGCCUGGAGCACAUGCACCAGCUGAGCCCGCCGGAGAUCCUGAAGACGCUCGACACGUCCACCGUGUACCUGACCGACGAUUUCGCGGCCAAGAUCGCAGACGUCUUCUUCUGCUCCGAUGACGCCUCGUCGACAAGGGCGGAGAUGGCGAGCCUGCAGUCCCUCCUGGCGCUGUCCGACAGGGAGAGCGUCGUGUACAGCUACGGCAUGGUGCUGCUGGAGAUCAUGUCCGGCAGGUUCACGGCGUCGGCCGGCGGCCUGCUGGAGGGCUGGGCGGCGAGCUUCCUCCGUGGGGAGAGGCAGCUGAGGGACGUGAUGGACCCUGACCUGAGCUGGAACGCGCCCCUCCAUGCCGAGACCGUCAACAGGCUGGACGGUGUGAUUCGGUCCUGCACCGACCGGGAGGCGAGGCGGCGACCCGCCAUGGCAGAGGUGGCGAGGCGGCUGAGGGAGAUCACGGCCAUGCCGCCGGACGCCGCCACCCCCAAGGUGUCGCCCCUGUGGUGGGCGGAGCUGGAGAUCAUCUCCACCGAGGCCACCUGA
rnacentral:rRNA from 1 species